rnacentral:rRNA from 1 species
CCAAUAGCGUAUAUUAAAGUUGUUGCAGUUAAAAAGCUCGUAGUUGAAUUUCGGGAUCAAUAUGUCGGUCGUGCCUUCGGUACGUACUGGUAUCAUUGGUCUCUCCUUUCUGACGAACCAUGAUGUCAUUAAUUUGGUGUUAUGGGGAGUUAGGACUGUUACUUUGAAAAAAUUAGAGUGUUUAAAGCAGGCUUUAGCUUGAAUACAUUAGCAUGGAAUAAUGAAAUAGGACGUUCGAACCUAUUUUGUUGGUUUCUAGGAUCAACGUAAUGAUUAAUAGGGAUAGUUGGGGGCAUUAGUAUUCAAUUGUCAGAGGUGAAAUUCUUGGAUUUAUUGAAGACUAACUACUGCGAAAGCAUUUGCCAAGGACGUUUUCAUUAAUCAAGAACGAAAGUUAGGGGACCGAAGACGAUCAGAUACCGUCGUAGUCUUAACCAUAAACUAUGCCGACUAGGGAUCGGAUGAUGUUAAUUUUUUAAUGACUCAUUCGGCGCCUUACG